UAUUGCACAAUGGGGGAAACCCUGAUGCCGCGACGCCGCGUGAGUGAAGAAGUGUUUUGGUGUGUAAAACUCUAUCAGCAGGGAAGAAAAUGACGGUACCUGAUUAAGAAGCCCCGGCUAACUACGUGCCAGCAGCCGCGGUCAUACGUAGGGGGCACGCGUUAUCCGGAUUUACUGGGUGUAAAGGGAGCGUAGACGGCAGCACAAGUCUGGAGUGAAAUGCCGGGGCUUAACCCCGGAACUGCGUUGGAAACUGUGCAGCUAGAGUGCAGGAGAGGUAAGUGGAAUUCCUAGUGUAGCGGUGAAAUGCGUAGAUAUUAGGAGGAACACCAGUGGCGAAGGCGGCUUACUGGACUGUAACUGACGUUGAGGCUCGAAAGCGUGGGGAGCAAACAG
rnacentral:rRNA from 1 species